rnacentral:rRNA from 1 species
AGCGAACGCUGGCGGCAGGCUUAACACAUGCAAGUCGAACGCCCGGGCAACCGGGAGUGGCAGACGGGUGAGUAACGCGUGGGAACAUGCCCUUUGGUUCGGAAUAACUCAGGGAAACUUGAGCUAAUACCGGAUAAGCCCUAACGGGGAAAGAUUUAUCGCCGAAGGAUUGGCCCGCGUCCGAUUAGCUAGUUGGUGGGGUAAUGGCGCACCAAGGCGACGAUCGGUAGCUGGUCUGAGAGGAUGAUCAGCCACACUGGGACUGAGACACGGGCCAGGCUCCUUCGAGAGGGAGCAGUGGGGAAUAUUGGACAAUGGGGGCAACCCUGAUCCAGCCAUGCCGCGUGAGUGAUGAAGGCCCUAGGGUUGUAAAGCUCUUUCGGCGGGGACGAUAAUGACGGUACCCGCAGAAGAAGCCCCGGCUAACUUCGUGCCAGCCGCCGCAGUAA